rnacentral:lncRNA from 1 species
UUGAAGGAGGAGACAAAUUGUUAAGUGCUUAGCAACAGAUACUUCUAACAAUAUUGUUAGACUUUUGUAUGUAGAGAGAGGGGAAAUUAUUGAGAUUCCAUGACCAAAAGAUGAGAAGAACAGUAGAUGAUAAGGUUUAAUUAUGCAUUUAUGCUGUGCGCGAGCCACUUGAGGUGGGGCACCCGCCGAAGACUACUUACUUUAGUGCCUCUGUUGAAAUUUCGUACAUUAAUUAAACAAUGAUUUUGGUGCUUCUGCUGAAUGGACGAAUUGACAAGAGAGCAUUCGAAAUCCGUGGACUGAAAAUAAUAGUGAUUCAGACGUUGGAGGGUAGCCACAAUACAACCCCCAUUCUUUAACUUUUCAACUUUUUUAACACUUUCAAUAUUUUUUAAUGUUGAUCUUUCGAGUUUCACUCUUUUAUGUACAUAAUAUAAUGCAUUAUGUAUGAAGUUAGCGGAAAAAAGGAAAAAUACUAGAGAUGUAAUGGAGAAUUUGAGGUAUUCAACCAAAAAAUGGGAGCAUUAGUUGUAUUGUAAAUUACCCACUUCUAAUUUUCUUCCGGUGGCUGAAACAUUUCUAACUAGUUUCGGAAAAUUAGAAAAACUUUUGAC